rnacentral:misc_RNA from 1 species
AACGCAUAUUGCACCCGACAGGCUCGCUUGUCGGGUCUGCCUGUUUGAGUAUCAGAUCGGACCCAGCAGCCGACGACGGGGGCGUGGAACAGGGUUUUGCGACUCUGCUUUGCGCAUCCGCGUCGACUAGCCGGUGCUCGCUGCGCAGCAAUGUGCGGCGGAAAUGGGGUUUUGGGGGCGCGCUCGCGCAACCCCAUUCCCUGAAAUGUAUUGGCCGACCGGCGCAUCCUCGAUGUCGCUGCGCUUGGACUGCGGGCCGUUUAGCAAUGUUAAUCAUCCGCAAGGGUGUCUUUGUUAAGUUGCCGGGUUAUUCAACGAGCGUGGCGCGAUGUCCAAACCGACCACCCUUGCAAAUGCACGAAAGUGUGUGCGCAAACCGCAGCGCGGGAAACCGCGUUUGCACCCACCAACUUGAUCUCAAAUCAGGCAGGAUGACCCGCUGAAUUUAA